CAGCAUUUAUUCUCUUUGCUACUAGUUCUUGACCCCAAAGCCAUCCACCAUUCUGAACACUAAUGCUAACUGCCAUAAGGAGCCUGGAUGAGCCCCCAGGGGAGUCAGGAAAGGUCACCACGUGCCCAGCUGGGAGCCAGGAACCGCAAGGAAGAAUUUCUCUGCAGUAUCACCACCCCUGGCAGCUCUGGAACCAUCUGAAAUAGCAGCUCAGGCCUGGUCUCUGCCCUUCCUUCCCUUCACUGCUCUACUCCUGCCCCACAGUCUGCGCCCGCCUCCACCAGCGGCAGCUGAAGCCUCCUCGGUGAGCCGGCCUGUUCCUGCAGCUCUGCAAUUGCCCCGUGCAGAUACCAUCGCCAUUUGCAAGGCUCACUCCUGCAUACCAAACAGAAACUCCUGGUGGGGAGCCAAAACCCAGUCAUCCUACAGAGUCACCACCAGCCCCUUGGAAGGAAAAGGGACCUGUGUCCCGCCCCAGCCUCUCUCUCUCCUCCCGAGCUUCCUGACUUCUUGGUGCAUCUGUUGUACUCUCUUGCAAAAUCCUUGCUCUGUUCAAAUUGGAAAGGGCGAGCACAUUGAAUGAAGUUCAAGA